rnacentral:rRNA from 1 species
UACGAAGGGUGCAAGCGUUACUCGGAAUUACUGGGCGUAAAGCGUGCGUAGGUGGUUCGUUAAGUCUGAUGUGAAAGCCCUGGGCUCAACCUGGGAAUGGCAUUGGAUACUGGCGACCUAGAGUGCGGUAGAGGGGUGUGGAAUUCCCGGUGUAGCAGUGAAAUGCGUAGAUAUCAGGAAGAACACCCGUGGCGAAAGCGGCUCUCUGGAACGGUACUGACGCUGAGACGCGAAAGCGUGGGGAGCGAACAGG